rnacentral:lncRNA from 1 species
AGAAUUCUGACAUAUAAACAAAACACAUGGUCAACAGUAGAAGAACAAUUAUUUCUUCUAUAUAUGUCGAGGAAAAAGCAUAGAAGGAAAGGUCAUGAGAUUAAUUUAAUUGACAACUCUGAAAAUUUCUAGUUACUUUCCUUCCUCUGUUUCCCAUGUAUUUCUCUAAAUAUAAUUCUAUUUACCAAUCUUUUCUAUACCUUCCAAUUAAAAGCGAAUAAAAGGUAUGACGGGAAAAUUAGACUUUGACUCAAUCGUCAACAAUGCUUUCCCUUUUCUCCAUAAACAGUGAAGUCCACAAACCAUCCUUACCCUACCCCAUAACUUGAUAAAACAAGAAUAGAGUUUGGUUCCAAGAUGUCAUUUUAAGAUUUAAGCGACAUCAUGAUUCAUCGCAGAAUAGAAGAUCAUAAAUAUAAACAAUGGCAUUAUUGAUCACCAAUGUGUACGCUAUUUCAACAUAAUUUUGAUUAAGGUAAAACAAAGUAUAACGCGCUUUAUCCUCUCCUUCGGUGCUCAAACUUCACUCACACAAGAAUUUUCAUUUACUUGACUACAAGAAAAUCAAUAGUACAUUCUAAAAAGGACAAAAAAAUUGCUGACCAUCUGAACAAACUAUUGACAACAGAAAAUUAACCACCAACUAAAUUUUUAAAAUAAAGCGACUCUUAUUUCUUCAUACUUAUUAACCAACAAAUAAGAUCAUCUUGGAUUCACAACCAGCACAUGAUUAGGAUCAUGUCAUAAUUCAAGUAUACUGGCACGAACAGAUUUUCUAAACUAAUCCACUAUACUACAACAGUGUCAUGACUUAACAUUUUAUAGAAAUAUUUAAAAACAUGAAAGAAUAACAUUAUAAAUGAUUGUAUAACAUUUCAAUCACCUUUAAUUUAUAUUUAGAAACAUUUUAUAGCUUCCUUAGUUUUGAAAAGAGAAAUAAUCUAUCACCUCCCUUCCCCUCCUAAACUUUCCAUCCAAACAUACCGUAUCCAAAAAUAUGACCAAGAGGGCUGCCCAAUGCACAGGCUUCUACUAGCUGGGGAUUAGGGAGGGUAGACG